rnacentral:lncRNA from 1 species
GGACUUAGGCCUCUCUGUCCUCCAAUUAUCUCAUUUGCAUAAAACUUUUAAAGCACAUAUGAACCUCUUGAAAAGAGCAUCAUUUAUAACUGAUGACAUUUUGUGUUUGUAGUCAUUUCCAUAAAAUGCUCAAGAUUAGUGUUUUUUUUUUUUUUUCAGUGAUGUGAUGUCUCUAUGGGGAAUUGAACUUAGAGCUGCAGCCUUUCUCUGGAACAUGCAUUUUACCUUCCGUGCGUAGAUUCUGUGCACUGGAUUAGAAGUCCUUAACAGUAUUUCUCCAGAAAUGACCCCAGUCUUGCAGAAGCUGACCUUGAGAAUCUGUAGAGGUGACUUGGACUUGAGUUAUCAAGGUGGUAGAGUGUGGCGGUGAAGCAUGUGGGUCAACUCCUAACUCUACUACUAACUAGGAUGGCUAACCUGGCAAGGUCCGUACUGUUUUGUACCUCCAUGUUCUCAUCUUCUUAUUGGGGAUGAUGAUGGUAAAACAUGCUUUACAGGUUUAUUGGGAAGAUUAAACAAGUUAAUAGCAGAGUGUGAAGAACACUGCCUGACAUGUGGUGUACACCAACCUGGGCUAGUUAGUGAUGCCAUCGAAGUGGCUGUGACAGUUCCAAACAGCAAUAGAACCACGUACUGGAGUUCCAGUGUCACACACUUGCCUUUUAAAAGCUGCCUAAUGUUUUCCCCGGUCAUCUUCAGAGACACUCAGAGUCAGGUCCAUGUAUACACAUUCCUUCCUUUGUGCUAUAUCAGAAAGAAAGGAGUUGGGUAUGGUUCCAAAUGAGGGGGAGGAAGCAAAGGAGAUAAAGUUUUCUGUGUAGACAAGUCAGCUCUUCUAAAUGGUCUGUCUGAUCCUAAGAAGAGCAGCUGUUCCAUCUCCACAGGACCAGCCCUUGAUCCCUCCCACCAAAGUUGAUGCGGGGGAAUCCUGGUCAUGCUUUUUGACUUUGCUUGUAGGUUCUGCUCAGCCUCACUCUCACCUGCCCCGAUGUCUCUUCACACUCCUCCUGACGGUUUCUGGAUGGCCUUUCCAAUGCUUUUUUGGGUGAAUGGUUUAAUCUAAGUAUAACAUACGUGGAGAACAAUGCAUGCAUCAUGCUGAAUUAUUACAGUCAGCACAUGAAACCCAGAUAAAGACUUUGAGCAAUACCAGCACCCAAUAUACUUCCUUUGUGUCUCCUCCGAAGCAUCACCUCCUCCAAAGGUAGCCACCAGUCUCCUUUCCCUCACACAGACUAUUUUUUUGCCAAUUUUAUUACACUUUGGAUAAAUGGAACCACACAGUAUUUAGUCUUUUUGUUUGUUUGGGCAGUGCCUGUGGCAUGUAGAAGUUCCUGGACCAGGGAUUGAACUUGUGAUAAUGCCAGAUCCUUGAUCUGCUGAGCCACCAGGGAACUCUCAGUUUGUAGUCUUUUGGGCUUAGCUUCUUUUUUUUUUCCCCUCUCUUGUUAGGGCUGCACCCACAGCAUAUGAAAGUUCCUGGGCUAGUGGUUGAAUUGAAGCUGCAGCUGCCAGCCUGUGCUGCAGCCACAGCAAUGACAGAUCUGAGCCAUAUCUGUGACCUCCACCACAGCCUACAGCAAUGCUGGAUCCUUAACCCACUGAACGAAGCCAGGGAUCGAACCUGCAUCCUCAUGGAUACUAUGUCAGUUUCUUAACCUUCUGAGCCACAGUGGGAACCCCUGAGCUAGGCUCCUUUUGCUUAGUAUUCCUUCUAUGAGAUUCCUCUGUGUUGUGGUUUUUUCUUUUCCAUCACUGUAGAGCUCUAUUGUAAAAAUAUAUUCAUGAAUUUUAUUUAUUCAUCCAUUCUCCCUUUAUAGAUAUCUGAGUUGUUUUCAGUUUUGGACUAUUAUGAAUAAUGGUGCCAUGAACAUGUCUUUUGGCAAAUUAUGUUGUCAUACCUAUGCAGCUAGGUACAGAAUUGAUGGGUCAAAUAUAUACUGAUGCUCAACCUCAGUGAAUAUUGCCUAACAGUUGCCUAAAUGGUUGAACACUGCCAUUUUUUAACAGAGUUUUUUGAAUGUUAAUCUGAAUGAGUUCUUCAUAUAUUUUGAAUAUUAAUCCCUUAUCAACUAUAUCAUUUGCAGAUAUCUUCUCCCAUUUAGUAGGCAGCCUUGUCAUUUUGACGGUAGUCUCUGUCACUGUGCAAAAGAUUUUUAGUUUGAUGUAGUCCCAUUCGUUUAUUUUUGCUUUUGUUGCCUUGCCUGAGGAGACAUAUCCAAAAAAUUAUCGCUAAGAGUGAGGUCUAAGACUGUUCUGCCUAUGUUUUCUUCUAAAAAUUUUAUGGUUUCAGGUCUUACAUUUAAGUCUUUAAUCCAUUUGGAGGUUAUUUUUGUAUAUAGUGUGAGAAAGGGGUCCAAUUUUACCCUUUUACAUGUAGCUGUCCAAUUUUCCCAACACCGUUUAAUUGAAGAGGCCAUCUUCCCCAUUGUCCACACCAAGACACACUGUAAUUAAAAUGGUGAUCAUUAAAGAUAAAGAGAAACAAGGGAAAAAAUGCUUACGUGGAGACUAAACAACAUGCUACUAAAAAAAGGGGGGGGGCAAUGAUGAAUUCAAAGAGGAAAUAAAGAAUCAUUAAAGCAGCAAGGGAAAAGCAACUUAUUAUGUACAAGGAAACUCCCAUCAGACUGUUGGCUGACUGUUCAGUAGAAAUUUUGCAGACCAUAAGGGAAUGGCAGAAUAUGGGUGGGUAAACCCAUGGUCUUAAUAGGCUAGAGGAAGAACCCAAAGUGGCACUUGCCAGCACCAGUGUCCUUGUAGAAUGAGCUCCCCAAAAUGGCUGCUGUAAGCAUCUAGGUCCCCGUGAGGAGUCCCCCUUGCCUCCCACCUUUCUAAGAGGUUCUCCAAGAUUAGCAAGUGGGUUUAACCCAGGUUUCUUUCAAAAUACUGCUUCUGUGCUGGGUCUUGGAGUAUAUGAAAUUUUGUAUGAGCUCUUUAAGAGCAGAGGCUCUGUUUCCUACAGCCCUCAGGCUCUCCCAUGUGGAAGCCCCACUGACCUUCAAAGUCAGACGAUCUGAAGGCUCACCUUCCUGGUGCAGACCUAGGGUCUGGAAAGCCUGAUGUGGGGCUCAGACCCCUUGCUCUUUGGGAAAAAACUCUGAAAUUAUGAUUAUCCUCUCAUUUGCAGGUCACCUAUCCAAGGGUAUACCACUAAGGGUGUUAUACUGCAUCUCCACCCCUCCUACUUAUCUCGCUGUGGUUCCUUCUUUAUAUCUUUAGUUAUGGAAAAUAUUUUCUUCUAGUCUUCAGGAUUUUCUCAUCAAUAGUUGUUCUGUAAAUUGUUGUAAUUUUGGAGUGCCCAUGCGAGGAGGUGAGCUCAGUUUCUUCUUACUCCACCAUCUUGGCUAUUCCCCUGAAAUGGAACUGAUUUUUGAACAUUGUGUAUCAUGUACCUUGCUGACUUGUUUAUUUGUUGCAAUAGAUUUUUUAGUUGUUGUAUAUAUAAUAUAUAUAUAUAUUAGGAAUCCUAAACAAUCUAUAUAUGAAUAUAUAUAUGAAUAAUUAUGUCACUUGCAAAUUGAAAUAAUUUUACUUCUUUCCGAUUAGAUAUCUUCUAUUUCUUUUCUUCAUGCUGCAAGCCUUUUAUUAACUUCCAGAAAUCUGAAAAAGUUGAUUUGGAGAAAUUUUGCCAGUUUUUUUUAUUGCUUCUUUGGAGGGGCAAAUUUUUGGAAGUAUUUACUCCAGUACUUUUGCUGAUAUCACUUUAGUCUUUUAAUUGGAACUUUUGUUUUAUUUCCAUUUUAUGUAAUUAUGUCACAUGUUAUAAUUUGUUUUUAAUUUGUAAUCUGUUUUAUGUUUCUUUUUCUCUCCUUUCUUGCUUGCUUUUGUAUUAAUAAAAUAAUUUUAUUGUCCAAUUCCCCUUUUCUAUUAGAUCAUUAGUUUUAUAUCCUUGGCCUUUUACACUUAAAUAUAAAAAUUUUAUCAUUUCUCAGAAAAAAUUAUUACCUUGAGACAGUUUAUUUUGUUUACUCCUUUAUCCCACUUGUUCCAUUAGGAUAAUCAUGAAUUUUAAUUCUACAUAUAUUUUAAUUUCCAUAUGAUGUCAUUAUUUUUUAUAAAAUUAAUAUUUUUUUUACACUUACCCACAUAUAUAACUUUUUCCUUACUCUUUGUUUUUGUGGUUUUCUUUUUUCUUAUUUUUUUGGGGGGGGAUCAUUUUCCUUUUGCUAAAAAAUUUCUUUCGGUAUAGGUUUUCUUUUGAUGAAUGUUUUCAGGUUAUUGUUGGAAGGACUUGAAGUCUGAAACUGUAUUUAUUAUGCCUUAAGUUUUGAAAGAAACUUAAGGAAAUAGAAUUUUCAUUUGUAAGUUAUUUUCUUUCAGCACUUAAAACAUUAUUCCAUUGUUUUUCAUUUCCAUUGUUUCUCUUAGAUAGUUAACUGUAAGUCUCAUUGAGCUCCUCUGAAGGUCAUGUAUUUAUCACUCUAACUGCCUUCAGGAUUUAAAAACAUUUUUUUUUUAGGGAGGAGUUCCCAUCUUGGCUCAGUGACUAAUGAAUCUGACUAGGAACCAUGAGGUUGUGGGUUUUAUUCCUGGCCAUGCUCAGUCGGUGAAGGAUCCAGAGUUGCCAUGAGCUGUGGUGUACGUUGCACAGAUGCGGCUUGGAUCCCAUGUUGCUGUGGUGUUGGCAUAGGCUGGCGGCUACAACUCUGAUGGAACCCCUAGCCUGGGAACCUCCAUAUGCUGUGGGUGCAGCCC